CUCAGGCCUGACACCGGCUGGAGCACCAAGACCCUGUCAGCCACAUGGCUAGUUUAACCUGCUAGUGUGCUGGGAAAGAGAUCAGGCCUUUACCUGCAGAACGAAUGAAAUGAAACCCCAGGCUGCACAUUCUCUGUGGAAGACCAAGAUAGUUAACAUCAGAAGGGAAUUUGGGGAGUAUCUUGUUCAGCUACCUCAUUCCACAGAAGACAGAGACACAGGGAAGAUGCAACGUGAUGACAGAUGCAGCCAAGGAAUGCCAAGGAUCAAUGGCAACCACCAGAAGGCGAGAGGGGAUUCUACCCAGAGUCUUAGAGGGAGCAUGGCCUUGCUGACACCUUGGCUUUAGACUUCUGGCCUCCAGAACUACGAGAGAAUAAACUUCUAUGUUUUACGCCACCCAGUCUAUAGUGCUUUGUCACAGCAACCCUAGGAAACUAAUGCA